UAGGGAAUAUUGGGCAAUGGACGGAAGUCUGACCCAGCCAUGCCGCGUGCAGGAAGAAGGCGCUCAGCGUUGUAAACUGCUUUUAUCGGGGAGGAACGGCAGUCCUGCGGGAUUGUGUGACGGUACUCGAGGAAUAAGCACCGGCUAACUCCGUGCCAGCAGCCGCGGUAAUACGGAGGGUGCGAGCGUUGUCCGGAUUUAUUGGGUUUAAAGGGUGCGUAGGUGGUUGAGUAAGUCUGGUUUGAAAGUCAGUCGCUUAACGAUUGAGGGUGGCUGGAUACUGCUGAACUUGAAUGCCCUGGAGGUAGGUGGAACGGGUUGUGUAGCGGUGAAAUGCAUAGAUAUGACCCAGAACCCCAAUUGCGAAGGCAGCUGGCUACACAACUAUUGACGCUGAGGCACGAAAGCGUGGGGAUCAAACA
rnacentral:rRNA from 1 species